rnacentral:piRNA from 1 species
GCCAUCUUGGUCCGGGAC